rnacentral:rRNA from 1 species
GACGAACGCUGGCGGCGUGCUUAACACAUGCAAGUCGAACGGAGUUAAGGAGCUUGCUUCUUUACUUAGUGGCGAACGGGUGAGUAACGCGUGAGAAACCUGCCUUUCAGUGGGGGACAGCAGUUGGAAACGACUGCUAAUACCGCAUAAUGUUAUUUGGGGGCAUCCCUGAAUAACCAAAGCUUUAUGUGCUGAAAGAUGGUCUCGCGUCUGAUUAGCUAGUUGGUGAGGUAACGGCUCACCAAGGCAACGAUCAGUAGCCGGUCUGAGAGGAUGAACGGCCACAUUGGGACUGAGACACGGCCCAA